rnacentral:rRNA from 1 species
UACGGGGGGGGCAAGCGUUGUUCGGAAUUACUGGGCGUAAAGGGCGCGUAGGCGGUUCGCUAAGUCGGAUGUGAAAACUCUGGGCUCAACCCAGAGCCUGCAUCCGAAACUGGCGGGCUAGAGUUCUGGAGGGGGUAGCGGAAUUCCUGGUGUAGCGGUGAAAUGCGUAGAUAUCAGGAGGAACACCGGUGGCGAAGGCGGCUACCCGGACAGAAACUGACGCUGAGGCGCGAAAGCUAGGGGAGCAAACAGG